rnacentral:sRNA from 2 species
ACCGAAUAUGUUGGAUUACCGUAGACAGAAGGUGGACAUCGGUCCGUAAACCCUUCCGAGGUGUCUUUGCUCGAACUUGAGCCUGUUGUCACAGGUUUACUUUCAAACAAUUACGCCCUCGUAUGUCUUCAUACGAGGGAUUUCUUUUGGAGAG